GAUGAACGCUGGCGGCGUGCCUAAUACAUGCAAGUCGAACGAACACACGAGGAGCUUGCUCCUCUGGCGUUAUCGCCGGACGGGUGAUUCCCUCGUGGUUAACCUACCUCUAAGACUGGGAUACCUUCGGGAAACCGUGUCUAAUACCGGAUAAUAUAUUGCACCUCAUUGUUCACUAGUUAAAGACGGUUUUGCUUUCACUUAUAGCUUGCUCCGCGCCGCAUUCGCUAGUUGGUAAGGUGACGGCUUACCCACGCUACGAGGCGUAGCCGACCUGAGAGGGUAAUCGGACAGCCGGGAACUGAGAAAGAGCCCAGACUCCUACGGGAGGCAGCAGUAGGGAAUCUUACGAGAGGGAGGAGAGGGUGACGUAGCAAAGCCGCGGAAGUGAUGAAGGUCUUAGGAUCGUAAAGCUCUGAUAUUAGGAAAGUAGAAAUGUGUAAGUAACUAGGAACGUAAUGACGGUACCUAAUCAGAAAGCCACGGCUAACUACGUG
rnacentral:rRNA from 1 species